GUGGUUAGAGGCAGGUAGCCUAGUGGUUAGAGCAGGUAGCCUAGUGGUUAGAGGCAGGUAGCCUAGUGGUUAGAGGCAGGUAGCCUAGUGGUUAGAGGCAGGUAGCCUAGUGGUUAGAGACAGGUAGCCUAGUGGUUAGAGGCAGGUAGCCUAGUGGUUAGAGACAGGUAGCCUAGUGGUUAGAGACAGGUAGCCUAGUGGUUAGAGACAGGUAGCCUAGUGGUUAGAGCAGGUAGCCUAGUGGUUAGAGCAGGUAGCCUAGUGGUUAGAGGCAGGUAGCCUAGUGGUUAGAGCAGGUAGCCUAGUGGUUAGAGCAGGUAGCCUAGUGGUUAGAGCAGGUAGCCUAGUGGUUAGAGACAGGUAGCCUAGUGGUUAGAGACAGGUAGCCUAGUGGUUAGAGGCAGGUAGCCUAGUGGUUAGAGACAGGUAGCCUAGUGGUUAGAGACAGGUAGCCUAGUGGUUAGAGGCAGGUAGCCUAGUGGUUAGAGACAGGUAGCCUAGUGGUUAGAGCAGGUAGCCUAGUGGUUAGAGACAGGUAGCCUAGUGGUUAGAGCAGGUAGCCUAGUGGUUAGAGCAGGUAGCCUAGUGGUUAGAGCAGGUAGCCUAGUGGUUAGAGGCAGGUAGCCUAGUGGUUAGAGCAGGUAGCCUAGUGGUUAGAGCAGGUAGCCUAGUGGUUAGAGCAGGUAGCCUAGUGGUUAGAGACAGGUAGCCUAGUGGUUAGAGCAGGUAGCCUAGUGGUUAGAGACAGGGAGCCUAGUGGUUAGAGACAGGUAGCCUAGUGGUUAGAGGCAGGUAGCCUAGUGGUUAGAGCAGGUAGCCUAGUGGUUAGAGCAGGUAGCCUAGUGGUUAGAGCAGGUAGCCUAGUGGUUAGAGACAGGUAGCCUAGUGGUUAGAGCAGGUAGCCUAGUGGUUAGAGCAGGUAGCCUAGUGGUUAGAGCAGGUAGCCUAGUGGUUAGAGUGUUGGACUAGUAACCGAAAAGGUUGCAAGAUCAAAUCCCUGAGCUGUCAAGGUGAAGAUCUGUCAUUCUGCCCCUGAACAAGGCAGUUAACCCACUGUUCCUUGGA